UUGUUAAUUUGUUAAUUGUAUGUAGCGAAUUAUUAACUGAAAUUCUGAAUACUAUAUUUUAUACGAAGUUUGACAUUUUAAUGAAGCCAUUUUUGAUGCCGCGGGUCCAUGAAAAACUCUGCUGUGUCUGCGUUGCUGAUAACAGCUGGCUGGCGUGCGCGCGCAUGCAUUGUAUUGCCACCAUAGUCAUGGUACGUGUACCAAAUUGUUCUAUGCUUACUAGUUUUAUAGCUCAUAGUACACCGAGAUGACCGAAAUAGUUUUAUUUUUGUUUCUCGUAUUAUUGGCAACUGUGGUACAAGGGACAGCCUAAGUUUCACCCCCAUAGAUCGACAUGCCCUUCGGGCUGGUUCGUACAUGUUCGGUUUUUAUUUUCUUUUUCUUUUUUUUAUCUGUACGUUCAAAACAAACAUUGCAAUAUUGAUCAAAAAAUUGUUGACUAAUGUUAUUUUAUAUUUUUUUAAGAGUAAAACACAUGUACACAAAUAUUUCCUUUUACUAAUUAUGAGAUUUUCAGGUAGCGUGUGGAGAUUUCAUCUUAUGUUCAUGAGCGCACAACGUAUAAAAUAUAAAAUCAUAAGAAAUGUUUUCUGGUGGUGUGUAGCAGUUAACCGCAUUUAAGUAAAAAUAUUUUAAAAUGAUUGUUACCAGAGCUGAAUUACAUUGAGGUGAGUGCACUUAAUAUAAUUUGGGGUAUUGCAGGAAAAAUUAUAAAUUCCUAAAGUGUUUUUUACUUCCUGACAUGUUUAAAAUUAUUAUUCUCUAUGAGGGUUGUUUGAUACUGCAAGUAGUUUAUCAUGUUUAACAUGUGGAUAGGUUAGGAUUAUUUAUUACAAAUCUGUAAUAUUGAGAUACUGCCCUUGGGUUAGCUGGAUUAAAAAUACAGUGAAAUUUGUUAGGUUAGUAACAUUAUACGUACAGUGAUUCUAAGUACAGUGGAAUUUACAUUUGGUUAGCUUGGGAUAGCACCAAUUAAAAAUUCUGUAAAAUCAAUUGAACGGUUGGAUGUUACUAACCUAAUCUAACCAACCAAUAUACAUUUUACAGUGAUUUUUUAGGUUAUUAUCUCACGUUGCUGCUUUUUGUAUGCAAAAUAAACUUUGGACACUUUUUUUUUAACUUUAAAUAUGUACCUGUAUUUACUCUGAAAAAAGUUUUUUCUAAAUUCAGACUGGUUUUUGAGAAAUCACUGUUUAUAGGUUACAUUACAUUACCUGUGCAGUAAAGGGCCUGUCACCAUGUUGUUCUUUAAUUGAGUUGCAGAUCUUGUUGUUUUUCAUACACAAAUUGUCUAUUUUUUAUUUGGAUAUUGCAAUGCAGUAACAUAAAUUAACACAUUAAAAAAGUUAUGUGACUCCUUAUUGUGCAUUCCAAACCCAAAGCAUCAGUCCUUGAGAGCGAUAUUUUUUAGCAGUUUAUAGGUGCAAAAUUCUGAUUUUUUACGUGAGACAACACAUAACCUGACAUAUAAAAUAAAUUUUCAUUUUGUAACAAAUGAUUCCUUUUAUACGUCAGGUUACGUGCUAUUGCAGGUAACUAAUCUGCGCUUUGCGCCUCCAUACUGCUAUAAAAAAUCCCUGUCAAGGGUUGGCGUUUUGGUUUGGAUACACAUUAGAGACUCGUAACUUUUUUUAAAACUAUUAUUUACGUUUCAUUAGGUUAUAAUAUUCAAAUAAAAAAUAUAUACAUUCUUAUAUAUAUGGAAAACCACAGGAUCUGCUAUGCAAUUAGAGGGGAAAAUGGUAACAGCUGCUUCACUGCAUAAGCUAUCUAGCGUGACCUGCAAAAUGUGAUUUCUUGAAAACCAGUAGGAAUUAAGAAAAGCUGUUUACAGUUUUAAUAGAUGAAGGUUUUUAGUAAUUUAGCUAACCAACCAUUCACAUGAUUUUACAAAUUUUGUAUUGAUUAUACUUACCUACUUUAACAUUAAACUACUGUUAAACAAUUUAUUUCAAUUUUUUAAAAAUAUAUUUGGGAAUUAGCGCAGUAUAAUCGAAGACGUUUACUGUAUUGAUGAUUGAUUUACUUUAUUGAUGCACAAUGAAGUUGUAUAAUUGUUGGAUUGGUUAAGCAAAUUCAAGCAUCAAGGGUACUGAUCAAUGGUUUUUAACAUUAUAUUUUCUUAAUGAAUCCAUUGGUAAAACGUUAAAACACUGGAAUGGCUAAAUUUCCAUCGACUGCUUAUGUUUUUUUCCGCAUGCUCACUUGAAAACAAUUACAGGGUUAUACUGUAGUUCACAGUUGCAAUACUUGGUUAGGUUAGUUACAUAAGUGCUGUUAAAUCAUGAAAAUGGUUAGGGAAAGGUAACUUCUUCAUAACUACUGUAAAAUGGUGUAAGCAAUUAUUCUUUAGGUAAGUUUACCUAGACUUUAAAAAUAAUUUAUUUGGCGAAGUACAUAGUACUAAGAAUUACUAUUUAUCAAAUUUGGUUUGUGUGGAAAAGUUGUUACUCUAGGAAAUUUCUGAAUCCAUCUUUGUAGGAAUAUAAACUAAUAUUAUUAGAAACAAAAAAAGAACAAUGUGUGGUAUAUUUUAAUUUUCUAACACGCUCUGAACUCUGCAGUUAUGCGAUUACCGAUAAUAUUGUAAAUCAUUGCAAUAUACAUCCGACACAUUUUGUAGUGAUUUCACUACUGUACUAUGAAGUAAUGCCAUCGACUGCUGCAAAAUAACAUGCUGACAUCUAUUCUUGUGUAGGCAUUUUGUUGAUACGACUAAAAUAUGAACAUAUAGGAUAUAUAUAGAAUCUUACAAAUUUUGGUAACCUACCUACUAAUACUCUCCCCGAAGACUUUGGUUAGAUACUUAAAAAAAAAAAAAAAAAAUUAACUGCUUAUGUGACAUGCAUUACGUGAAAUUAAUUCAACUUGUAAACAUUUUGCUUGAGUCAAAGCCUAGAUUUGCUUAAGCUAAUAACAAGCAAUUACAUCACUUGAGGCCCUGAGAAUCAAACUUCUAAAAUUGUGUAGUUACUUGGAUUGUUAAAUACCUAGUUUUUCUGCAAUAAUGGGCACAAGAGCAAUAGAAUUAUGUUUUUCAUAUAAUUUUUUUUCACAUAAAUGAGUUUUUGUCAAAAAGUAUUUGGAAAAAAUAUAUAUUUGAAAGGACAAAGAAAAAUGUUAAUUGUAGUACAUAAAUGAGAAUUUACCAAAAUAUUUAAUGUAUCAAAUUUCUAACUAAAAUGGUUUUGAAAUUAAUUUAUCAUUCUGGUAUGCAUAACUUUUUUCUUUGAUACAUUUAUUUAUCAGUUUCAUUUCUCUUUAGUACAAUAUAAAUCAUUUAACUUUGAUUUCUUUUUUGUUUCAGGCUUGUGGAGAACAGCUUUUUUUUAAUCUACUCUUUGGCUGGCGAAUGUAAAUAAGCAAUGAUUUCGUGAAUGCAGCGAGAGAGUUUAUUUAAUGUAUUUUAAAAUCACUGAUAAUAUUUAUUGAUGUAUUUUAAAAUCACUGAUAAUAUUUAUUGAUGUAUUUUAAAAUCACUGAUAAUAUUUGUUUUGUGGCUGGAAGAUGGUAACCAUGGUGACUUGUGAAUUUUUAUGAAGAUUAAUAAAAAGCAGUAAAAAUUA